UACGUAGGGGGCAAGCGUUGUCCGGAUUUACUGGGCGUAAAGGGCUCGUAGGCGGCCAACUAAGUCGGACGUGAAAUCCCCAGGCUCAACCUGGGAACUGCGUCCGAUACUGGAUGGCUUGAAUCCGGGAGAGGGAUGCAGAAUUCCAGGUGUAGCGGUGAAAUGCGUAGAUAUCUGGAGGAAUACCGGUGGCGAAGGCGGCAUCCUGGACCGGCAUUGACGCUGAGGAGCGAAAGCCAGGGGAGCAAACGGG
rnacentral:rRNA from 1 species